AGCACACGGUACUUCCCUAGUCCCCACUGUCUAUUGUCAUAGAGAAUACUUCGUAGUGUCUCAUCAUUGUUGUCCAAAUGCGCUAGAGAUACUAGUCUGCCAAUGAAAGACAACAUUGAAUUGCAUUUGCAAUGGAAUGUGGAUGUGCACUAUGCUCUGGAUUUACCGAAGUGGUGGUGUAAAGCAUUAGGCAUCUGGCCAUGGCAGCGCAACAUUUUCUGUAUCGUGCAAACCAGUACUAUUAUUCUCAUUGCGAUGACUACCGUGAUAUUAUCGUCAACCCAACUACUGAUUAAAGGCAACUGCGGAGAGGUAACUGAUUUACUAGAAAUCCUAUCCGGUAUCAUAGUCUUUUCCGAGACAGCUUUUAAAAUUAUUUCCCUUUGGCUUGGUCAACAACAAAUGCGUUAUAUUAUUUCAUCGAUCAUUGACGAUUGGUCAAAUGCUACUCGACAAGAAUCACGUGAUAUUAUGUAUCGGCAUACAUACUGGGGACGUGUAGCUUUUAUCUUGCAAACUACAGGUGCACUUGGAGCUAUGUUCCUGGCAGUGUGGAUUGACCGUCCAAGUAUAACCAGAGAGAUUUCAGGAAAUUAUAGUUCAAGAAACAUGUUAUUGGCACCUUCGUGUUGGAUACCAGCCACAAUGUCUCUUAAUGUUUAUUUACUUUAUUACAAUUUGGUUUUCGUUAUGGUAUUCUGGGCAGUAUUGACAUAUGCAGGCUGUGAUGCAUUUAUGUUUAAUGCUACUUUGCAUAUUUGUAGUCAGUUCGAAAUACUCGAGGCCGAUAUUCAAAAACUCAGUGAUGAAGAUGAUUAUUCAAUACAGAAAUAUAAAAUUAAAAAAUACUCAAAGAGACAUAAUCAAUUAAUUGAGCUUGGGCACCAUAUGGAUGCCUUAGUCAGUGGUAUUAUCCUGUCGGAACUUCUGAGCAAUACUGCUAUCAUUUGUGCCUCAGGAAUUUCACUUCUUAUUAACGUUAAAUCAGGUAAUGUGGACCGAAUAGUGAUAAGCUGCGCAGCAAGAGUAUAUGUUUGGUACAUGCAAUUCUUCAUGUACUGCUAUGUUGGUGAAAAAUUGUCAAGUUACGCUAAUCGAUUGCGGAAUGCCGUCUACAAUUGUUCGUGGUGCAAUAUGUCAAAAGAUAUUGCUAGAGAUAUGAAAUUUAUGAUAAUGCGUAACCAUAACUUCUGUCAGUUGACAGGGGGUAAAAUCAUCAUCAUGAAUCAUCAAAGUUUUGCGAAAAUCACUAAAAUUAUAUUUUCCUUUUUUUCGAUUCUCAGAUUCAUGAUUGAAUCAAAUGGGUAAGAAUAUUUUUUUAUGUAAUUAUUGGUCGUUAUUAUGACUUUUUUAAAUUCUCUCUGAUUGAGUAAGAACAAUAUGGAAUUAUUGGGAUGUAAUUAGUGCAUUUUCCUUGACGAGCGCCUAACAACUUACUACAGUUAAAAAUCCAAACGAAACAUUCGAUUAUCGUUUCCCGAAUGAUGUCGACCCGGUGUUAUCAUCAAAGCUUGGAAUGAGCAUUGGACCAAUCUUGUUUGUCACACUACCUGAUAAUCACACAUUUGUGUCUGGCCUGAAAUACAAUAACAAUCCCCCGCCACGUGGGAAUCAUCGAAGGUGAGCCCAGGCACCGAUGAUUUCCUUCUUUCCAUAAGUGCAGGGAAGCUCACGCGUUCACGGUGUAUAGCUCCUGGAGCAAAUGUGACAGGAUGUUAAUGGAUAAACAGCCGACACAUGUGCUGCUGGGGACGCUGAACCCCAAAAGACCACAUCGGUUAUUCGGGAACGAUAUUAGUUGAGAAAAAUUAAGUGAACACGUGUCACAUCAGGUCCAGAUAAGGUUGCCUAAUUUCAAAAGGCAGGUCUUCGUUCGAUUCACUAGGGCUUGGUACAUCAGGACCUUAUCUGGAGUGUAACGCACUGUCAAGCCCGAGCCCCGUCAGGUUUAUUGGCUCUGGACCUGAUAAAAACCUGAUCCGGUAUGACUGACAAUUACCUGACACCGUAUGCCAUAUUUCAACUCGAUGAAGGCCUGAUUCCUGACUAUUUUGGCCCUGAUGUGACAGCAGUUUCACCGUACUAAAUUUCUAGUCGGGUUUGUGUUCGUCGGCAUCGUGCUGGUGCUAUGACCAAAGUCUCUCAGGAGCGCAGCUUCGAGUCCCGGUGGUGAAGGAUUUUUUCAUCGGCGGAAAAUGAACCCAGUGCAUGUGGAGUUCGAUAUGUGUUAGCUUAAAGACAAGUGCGGGUAGAGAAUCAGGGGCGGGUACCGCGUAAAUACUGGGGUGAGUAGGUAAAAGACCACAACGGUCAUACCAUCCAGCACGACCCAAUGUUACUCCUCAGUUUCACUGAUUUCUAUUAUCGCCAACUCAUAAAAUAUAUUGUAUUGAACUAAGACCAUUAUUAUGGUUAUUAAAGAUGUUAUUUUAUAACAAACUUCCACUUUUUCCGCGACGUUAGCUUCGCUUGCUUCGAAUUGCAUUUUUCGGGCCCAAUAACUCCAAAUAGUGUACGUCAUACAACAAUAAAAAUCUCAUUGGAUUCCGGAAAUGAUAAAGCCACAUUUGUUAAAUGACACUUUUAUCACGUCAUUAUAUAAUUACCUAUUCCAAUAGAAAAGUAAACGCACUUAUCCAUGAUAUUUUUAUCAAUAUAAUUUGUUUUCAAAGCAUUGGCUACCAAAUUAAUAGAUACCACGACCAUUAAACCCAAAUGAUAGUUUGUAUUAACAGACGAUGCCAUUAGUUCAUCGAUGAACUGAUGAACCUCUCCACGGCAUGUGUUGCAAUCGUGCAAGCAUUCUAUCGGAAACUAUUUAAGCCGCUGUCACACGUCGUAGCUCAGUCUUUCCCUUCUUGAAAUAACAAGUUUCAGACCAUGAAGUCCAUUUUGGGAGUGACAAUAUUAUGUUGCAUUUUACUGUCAAAUUUCUGCAAUGCAAAACUGUUGCUAGUUCAAGUUCUAGCGCGUUAUACUGAGACAACUCCGAUGUCCACCGCGGACAUCAACGAGUUUUUUCCGGAAAUCAGUGAUUUCAACGUCUCAAUACCCGAGGGAUGGAACCACUUGACGAUGCAAGGAAGGAUAGAUGCGGUGGACUUAGGAUACGACUUUCGUUUCAAAUAUGAAUCUGUGUAUAGAAAUCAUACAACUUAUUACAGAGCAAUGAACGCACCAAACGCAAUAGAGACCGCUCGUCUAAUGGCAAUUGGAGCAUCCAUACGUUGUCUCCGUCACGAUCCACGUUGUCUUGAUACAACUAAUCAAACAAACUUGGACUCUAUGUUCAACUCGAUCUCUAAAGAUCGAAUGGAGUUCGAUGUGAAAAAGAUGAGGGAAGACAAGCUAUUCUUUAGCAACACAAUCUGUAAAAAUUAUGGCGAAGAAUUCUUCUCAGAGAUUAAAAGGCAAAGCAACGAGAUAGACGAUACAUUGUCUGAGCUUUAUGACGAUCUCUCAUACCACACAGGAGCGAAUUUCACCACGUGUGCUCACGCUUGGAUCCUGUAUCAGUAUCUUCAGGCGAAGGCGAGUGUUGGUCUUCCUCUGGAGAGUUGGACAGAAGAUAUAUUUCCCGAUGGAGCUUUGAAAAAUCUCACAAUUCAGAAGUUUCAAACCGAGUCCACAACGGAUCGGAUGAGGCGUCUGUUGGGAGGUUCCCUCCUCAGCACCUUCUUGAAGAAUAUCGAUGAUUACAAGAAGGGUUUGACAGACCACAGAUUGUUCGUGUACGUUGGUGACGAUUACCAUAUAGUUGGUCUUCUCAAUGCUCUAGGAAUGUACGACGGCGAGCAUAUUCCUAAUUAUGGCAGUUACGUCGAACUGCAGCUCCACGAACUCCCGGAUGAGAACAAACAGCCGAAAUUGUUUCUUGUGAUACGGUACAAAAGCGGAAGGGAUGAAUCGGCGUUUCCUCUUCUGAUGGAAAUUCCUGGGUGUUUCUUCCUCUGUUCGGUGGAACAAGUCACGAGCACUUUGCAGAACAAUAUACUUGAAGAUUUCGAUAAAGACUGUCGCUAUUAAAGAGGUCCUUGGUACAGUUCCGAAGUAAUAGCGCUGGAUGAUUACAGAGUAUUCAAUGAAUCGAAAAACAAUGACACGCAUCUGAUCAUUUUUAGCCAAUGUCUGCAGUCAACAGUCUAAGUGAAAUUAUGCUUCCAGUUCUGUUCGUUUUACAAAAUUUUCAAGUAGGAGAUUUUGCUGGGUCAGCUAUAGAUUUAUAAGACAUGUGUCAUUGUUGUACAAAUUUAUGAUAUUAAUAAAUGGUA